GGCGCUAUAGCCAAGUGGUUACGGCGACAGAUUCGAAUCAGUUGCUACCUGCGAAAUCUGUUCCUCUUUGAGGGCGCAGGUUCAAAUCCUGCUGGCGUCG